GACGAACGCUGGCGGCGUGCUUAACACAUGCAAGUCGAACGGCAAGGCCCUGCUUUUGUGGGGUGACCGAGUGGCGAACGGGUGAGUAACACGUGAGUAACCUGCCCUUGACUUUGGGAUAACUUAAGGAAACUGGGGCUAAUAUCGGAUAGGAGAUCAUGCUGCAUGGUGGGGGUUGGAAAGUCUCGGCGGUUGUGGAUGGAUUCGCGGCUGAUCAGCUUGCUGGUGGGGUAGUGGCUUACCAAGGCUUUGACGGGUCGCCGGCCUGGGAGGGUGACCGGGGACAUGAGGACUAGGAGACGCCCCAGUGUGCUACGGUGGGCAACGGGGGGGAAUAUUACACAAUGGGCCGAAGUCGGAGACGACAGCCCCCGGUUCGUAAAGACCGCCUUUUGGUUGAGAACCGCUUUCGCCUGUUACGAAGCGGGAGUGACGGUAAUGGGUAAAGAAGCACCGGCUAACUACGUG
rnacentral:rRNA from 1 species